AAAGGAAUCAUUUAGCAACGAGAAGCAGCUCAAUUUUAACGUUUUCGGGUUUCGCCUAUUCGAUAAAGUGAUUUCUAUCAUUCUGAUUCCAACAACCCCAGCGGUAACCAGUGACGCACACAAACUAAUCAUGUUAGCCCUUCGGACAUUUUUCGGUUUUCGACUCGAAUAUGGAGGUCUGUUCAUCGGCAUAUACUGCCUCGUAAUAAAUGCUCUAUCGGUGGGAUUGUGCAUAUUUGAAAUACUAUCCGUACGCCAGUACGACUGUGAUGAGUUUGUAAGAAUCUGGAACCCAUCGCUGUACGACAAAGUACGGGAUGCAUGGUGCCCGUACAUACAACGAGUCACCUUUACCAUUCUAUCGUUCAACAUUCUGUACAGCCUUGGCAUUGUGUGCAUCGGAUGCUUGUGCAUACAAGGAACGACCAGUCGUAAUCAUUGCCGUAUCAGUCCGAUGAGGAUGUUUCUAACUAUUUACGUAGCUGCGAGCUGGGUAUUGGCGGUGUUGGUCUCGCUGUUUGUAAUCAGUUCAUUUUGGACGGAUUUCAUAAUAUUCCAUUUUCUGUUCACAUUCAUUUACAUGGCCUUAAUAACCUACGCUUUACUGGUGAUCAAUUCUUUGUACAAGAUGUUUAAACGAGAAUAUGAAAACAAGACCGACAAAUGCAUAUAUCCAUAAAUGUUAUGCUGGUGGUUGGACUCGAUAUUUUUGUUGUUCAAAUUUUUAUUUUUGUUUAUAAGCAACAGAGAUGCAAUGGCAAUUUCUUUCCAUUUCAAAUAAAAAGUUCGA